UAGCCAUAUCACAUUGAAAUGCUGGUUCUCAUGAUCACCAAAGUUAAGCAACAUCUAGCCUGGUCAAUACCUCGAUGCGUGACUUCUUGGGAAUUCCAGGUGCUGUAAG